rnacentral:rRNA from 1 species
GACGAACGCUGGCGGCGUGCUUAACACAUGCAAGUCGAACGGGAGUAUUGAAGAAGCUUGCUUUAGAGAUACUUUAGUGGCGGACGGGUGAGUAACGCGUGAGGAGCUGUCCGAUGCAGGGGGACAACAGUUGGAAACGACUGCUAAUACCCCAUAAGCCGAGAGGUAAAAGGAUUUAUCCGGCAAUGAAGGUACUCGCGUCCUAUCAGCUAGUAGGUGAGGUAACGGCUCACCUAGGCGAAGACGGGUAGCCGGCCUGAGAGGGCGAACGGCCACACUGGAACUGAGAUACGGUCCAGACUCCCACGGGAGGCAGCAGUGGGGAAUAUUGGGCAAUGGGGGGAACCCUGACCCAGCGACGCCGCGUGGGUGAAGAAAUCCUUCGGGAUGUAAAGCCCUGUUGUAUGGGAAGAGCGGAAGACGGUACCAUACGAGGAAGCCCCGGCAAACUACGUGCCAGCAGCCGCCGUAA